CAGUAGCCGCGGUAAUACGUAGGUGGCAAGCGUUGUCCGGAAUUAUUGGGCGUAAAGGGCUCGCAGGCGGUUUCUUAAGUCUGAUGUGAAAGCCCCCGGCUCAACCGGGGAGGGUCAUUGGAAACUGGGAAACUUGAGUGCAGAAGAGGUGAGUGGAAUUCCACGUGUAGCGGUGAAAUGCGUAGAGAUGUGGAGGAACACCAGUGGCGAAGGCGACUCUCUGGUCUGUAACUGACGCUGAGGAGCGAAAGCGUGGGGAGCGAACAGGAUUAGAUACCCCGGUAGUCCCUGUCUCUUAUAC
rnacentral:rRNA from 1 species